rnacentral:tRNA from 1 species
GGGGAUGUAGCUUAGAUGGUAGAGUGCUCGCUUAGCAUGUGAGAGGUAUAGGGAUUGAUACCUUGCAUCUCCA